rnacentral:rRNA from 1 species
GACGAACGCUGGCGGCGUGCUUAACACAUGCAAGUCGAACGGAGUGGCGAACGGGUGAGUAACACGGGGGUGAUCUGCCUUACACUUCGGGAUACGCUUGGGACACUGGGUCUAAUCCCGGAUAUUGCAGGAUGAGCUCGCGGCCGAUCAGCUUGUUGGUGGGGUAAUGGCCUACCAAGGCGUCGACGGGUAGCCGGCCUGGGAGGGUGUACGGCCACAUUGGGACUGAGAUACGGCCCAGACUCCUACGGGAGGCAGCAGUGGGGAAUAUUGCACAAUGGGCGGAAGCCUGAUGCAGCGACGCCGCGUGGGGGAUGAAGGCCUUCGGGUUGUAAACUCCUUUCGACAGGGACGCGGUACCUGUAUAAGAAGCACCGGCUAACUACGUGCCAGCAGCCGCGGUAAUUC